GGAAAACUCCAUAUCCCACAAUUCAUAGCACACCUCUGCCGAGUUAAACAAUGGCGGCCACCACUUCGUUUUAUAUGUCUUUUAUUAGUGUUUCUAGGUCACAAAAUAAACUUUUAAGAUAUUUUCAGGCGAGAAUGUAGGUGUGUAAACUUCAAAUAUCUGCUCGUUUUAUCAAGACAUCGCAUAUUAGCGACAGUUCUCUUACGUGUUGCUAAUAGCCGGCUAGCUAGCUAGCCCCGCUAUGACGACACUACGCAAUGACGACACUCAACGGCGCGUGUCUCUUCGCCCCUCCUCCGCUUUGAAAUUGACCGUCGACGUGAUUUUGUAAGACAACGUCGCUAUCGUUUCACCGGUAAGGCGUUUUCCCCCCUCCUCCACUUUGGACUUGAACUUACAGUGAUUUUCUGAAGUGUUUACUAAGACACACCGUAAGCUUUUACAAGGCGUUAACUACAGCAGACUUUUAUACCUCAACUCUUGAUUCAGCCAAGGUAAGUGCCCCCCCCCCUUAUAUUUUCUAUGUAUGUGUUCAGCUGAUAUUUAGAAAAAAAUAGGUGUGUUUAGCGUUGGAUGUCAUUUUAUUCCAGAGCUGUUGUUUGUAAUUAAAACUUUUAAGAUUAGAUGGUACAGUGUUUUUACUCCCUUCCAAACAGUAAAGUUCCUCUUUGUUUCUCAGUAGGAAAUUUAAACCAGACAGUACAAGGCUACAUUUCAGUGUUACAAGCCAAUCAGUUUGCUAAUUGCUCUGUGAGAUUUGUUUGCAAAGUUUAAGGUGUUAAGUAGGACUGUGAACAUCUGGGUCUGCUUGCUGCUGGCAUUCUGCCACAGCCCCAGCAACAAGACCGCCUCCCAGCAACGAGACUGCCUGUCAGCCUUGCAAGGUACCCAAUUUUCCAAUUACUCUAUAACAAAACUGUUGUGGGCAACUAGACUGUCUCCUAAGUUUGCAAGCCAAUCACUUUGCCAAAUGUUCUUGUAAGAUUUGUUUGAAAAGUUUGAGGUGGUAACUGUGAGCUGUGAACAUCUGGGUUUGCUUGCUGCUGGCAUUUGACCAGCGUCUCAGCAACAACACUGCCUCCCAGCUUUGCAAGGUAAUUACUUUCCCAAUUACUGUACACCAAAACGAAGUAACUGUCGUGGUCAACAAAUCUGCCUCCCAACUUUCAAGGUAAUCACUUUCUCAAUUACAAUAUACAAACUGUUAUGGAACUUUACUUAAGAAAGCUUUAAGACCGGGUAGUGACACUAUCAAUAUGUCUAUUUAAAGAAAAGAGAGAUUUUUUUUUUUGUUCUUGUAGUCAUCUUGUCUGUCAAUGUAUCAGAGGGUUAAAAUAACAAAUUGCUUGAAAUGCCAAUAAUUAAUAUUCUGUUUUUAUGUUGACAUUCUACCAGAUGCCGAAAAAAAAUAAAAGAUCCCAGGCACAAAAGAAGCGCUGGAAACCACUUGACCUGGUCGAUCCUGCUGUCCCAGUGCUCUCUGGCCACAACCAAGAUGAGGCAGUCAGUAGUUUUCCAUCUGACCAGCAGACGGCACCAGCCGGGUUAUCUUUGGAAACACAGGAUAGACCCACCUCCUUAUGUUCCCCAGGUACCAAGCAGACAGCACCAGCCAGCUUGUCCUUGGAAACGGAGAAUAGACCCACCUCCUUAUGUCCUCCAGGCAGCAAGAGUUCAGAAACUCGUCCACCAGCAAAACGAGUCUGGGCAACCGAUGAUUUCCACAUGGCAUCAAAUUCUCCACCUAAAAAGCCUUUCCACAACAUAAAUGAACAACUACUGACAGAGGAGCUACAGAGCAACGCAGUUCAGCACUUCUGGUGUGUCAGUGCAACUCAUUGUCAAAGUGAUGAAAGGUACACAGAAUUCUCUCGAAAUCAUCAGUGCACAUGUAAUGCCCUCACAUUCCUGGCCUACCUUAAUGAGGAACACCAGUUCAACACAGCCCGACUUGAUAAGGUGCUUGAACAGGGAGAUGCACUCUACUGUUGGAUUAAAACACAUCUUCAGCAGGAGAGGCGUUAUACACAAAAUCAUCUGACCAUGGAGGACCUGCCCAAAGAAGUUCAUGCUGACAUAAACGUCUACAGUGUGAAAAUGGACAACAUAAGGUAUGGAUACCUGAAAGCAGC
ensembl:lncRNA